GAUGAACGCUGGCGGCGUGCCUAAUACAUGCAAGUCGAGCGAACAGAUAAGGAGCUUGCUCCUUUGACGUUAGCGGCGGACGGGUGAGUAACACGUGGGUAACCUACCUAUAAGACUGGAAUAACUCCGGGAAACCGGGGCUAAUGCCGGAUAACAUUUAGAACCGCGUGGUUCUAAAGUGAAAGAUGGUUUUGCUAUCACUUAUAGAUGGACCCGCGCCGUAUUAGCUAGUUGGUAAGGUAACGGCUUACCAAGGCAACGAUACGUAGCCGACCUGAGAGGGUGAGCGGCCACACUGGCACUGAGACACGGUCCAGACUCCUACGGGAGGCAGCAGUAGGGAAUCUUCCGCAAUGGGCGAAAGCCUGACGGAGCAACGCCGCGUGAGUGAUGAAGGUCUUCGGAUCGUAAAACUCUGUUAUUAGGGAAGAACAAAUGUGUAAGUAACUGUGCACGUCUUGACGGUACCUAAUCAGAAAGCCACGGCUAACUACGUG
rnacentral:rRNA from 1 species